UAUUAAAGUUCUUUGUUUUAUGGGGAGUCCAUCAAGAAACCAAUUUGCAGCAGCUGUAUGGUUAAAUUCAUCAUUGACCUCUGAUAUCUCCUUGGAGAGGAAAGGAGGAUGAAGGUUCUUUUUCUGGCUUCAUCUGUAGGUGUUAUGUGCUGAAUAUGGAGUUUUUUAUCCUGUUUCCUUAGGAUGCACCAAAGGCAAGUCCACACUGAAGGCGGCUCCCGAGCACCUCUGCUGACCUGAAAAGAUUUUGCCAGAUUGCACUGGGCUCCCUCAAAAGGGACAGCAGGAGCUAAUGGGAAUUAAGAUGGAAUGCCAAGGGGAUUCCUGGAGAAAAUAGGGCCCAAAGCCAUUACUUGGGGUUAUUUUUCCGUACUAUACGAGCAGCAGAAUCAGUCCUGGAUGUGCUUGGAGAACCUGAAAGGCAGGUAAGAGCUACAACCGCUAUGGGCAGUAGGAGUUAGCCCAAAGUUCCUCUGGAAUGGAAAGCCCACAGAAAUGAGUGGCAUCAAAUGUGCUGUUAAUGACAUCUCUAAAACCAGCUAUGGGUCUCACCUCGGUCAGCAGAUCUGCAGGGCUUGGUUUAGGCUGCAAACCAGUCGGCAGCCUUUAUGGCAGCAGCGUUCAGCUAUUGAGAAAUGUGUCCAGCCAGCGUUUUUCCCACUGUUGGGAGACAUCCACGUCUUGUUUAAAUUUAUCUGACGGCUUGUGCCUGCUAAGGAACAUUUGACAUGGCAGCACUCUGUCAAACACCUCGGAGAUUGCCUUUUCUGUCCUGGACUGAUGGGGGAAAAAAACAUCCAAGGGGCACUCCAGCUUGGUGUGAUGUCAAGGGAAAUGCAGCUAAGCCACUUGCAGGUUCAAAAAGCCUGCGGUACUGGGUAGAAACAGGCCCAAAUUUUGGAGGUCAUAACAAAAUUCAUGCAGCAGAGACUGGCUAACAGUAGCAGGUGGGUUUCUUGCUGCAGAGAAGAGCACGCUGGAGGGGAAAUCACUGUGUCUCAAAGCAAAAGAACCUCC